rnacentral:lncRNA from 1 species
UUAUAAGGACAGCAAUGAACAAUGAAUUUAGUUAUAAAUUUGAGAAUGCUCAACUGAAGAAAAUCCUUCAAAUGUUGAAGGAGUUCUUUGACAUCUCUGAGGAUGGUCUUUAGCAGAGUAUCAGUCCUUUAAGAAAGAAAAUAAAAAAUAGGUGCAAGUGAGUCAUGCUUGAGCUGUGGAGUCCGAACUAACAAAUGAGUC